AAUGAAUGCAUUGUGUGUUUCUGUGUGUGUAAGGGAUGCAUUGUGUGUAACGGUUGCAUUGCUUGUGUGUGUGUGUAAUGCAGUGUGUGUAAUGCAUUGUGUUUUUUCUGUGUGCAAGGGGUGCAUUGUGUGUGAUGAAUGUCAAUCUCCCCCCCCCUCCAAUUUCCUUCUCUCUCCCCCCUCCCAAUUUCUUUCUUUAUCCCCCUCUCCCAAUCUUUCUUUAUCCCCCCCUCCAAUUUCCUUCGCCC